rnacentral:rRNA from 1 species
UAUGAUGGUUUGUUGUAUUUGCUCAGGAUGAACGCUGGCGGUAUGCUUAACACAUGCAAGUCGAACGGGAUGCUUAGGCAUCUAGUGGCGGACGGGUGAGUAACGCGUGAGAAUCUGGCUCCAGGUCGGGGAUAACAGUUGGAAACGACUGCUAAUACCGGAUGUGCCGAGAGGUGAAAGAUUUAUUGCCUGGAGAUGAGCUCGCGUCUGAUUAGCUAGUUGGUGGUGUAAGGGACCACCAAGGCGUCGAUCAGUAGCUGGUCUGAGAGGAUGAUCAGCCACACUGGGACUGAGACACGGCCCAGACUCCUACGGGAGGCAGCAGUGGGGAAUUUUCCGCAAUGGGCGAAAGCCUGACGGAGCAAUACCGCGUGAGGGAGGAAGGCUCUUGGGUCGUAAACCUCUUUUCUCAAGGAAGAAGAAAGUGACGGUACUUGAGGAAUAAGCAUCGGCUAACUCCGUGCCAGCAGCCGCGGUAAUACGGAGGAUGCAAGCGUUAUCCGGAAUGAUUGGGCGUAAAGGGUCUGCAGGUGGAACUGAAAGUCUGCUGUUAAAGAGUUUGGCUUAACCAAAUAAAAGCGGUGGAAACUACAGAACUAGAGUGCGGUAGGGGCAAAAGGAAUUCCUGGUGUAGCGGUGAAAUGCGUAGAUAUCAGGAAGAACACCGGUGGCGAAAGCGUUUUGCUAGACCGUAACUGACACUGAGGGACGAAAGCUAGGGGAGCGAAUGGGAUUAGAUACCCCAGUAGUCCUAGCCGUAAACGAUGGAUACUAGGCGUGGCUUGUAUCGACCCGAUGGGGG